UCCUGUCUCAAGAAGACUCUCAACCCAAUGAGACUUGCUUCCCUUCACCUCUUUUCAGAAUUUCUCAAGCAUUAAGGUGCACAUUGGAUAUACUUGUUGGCCAGUUUGUGGUUGGAGAGACCUUGUUACACGUGCUGGCGGAUUCUCAGAGAUUAAAAACAAAGGCAGCUGGUGGAAGCCAUUGGACUGCAGAAUCCGCUACUUGAAGCACAACACUGUGGGAGGGUUUUUUUCUCUCUCUCUGACUAUUGGGAUUAGUGCAAAAUGAGGAAGAAGAUUGUGAAUUGUGCAAAUACCUUCUCCCAUUCUGUGGGCUGCAUUUUAGUUUGCUGAAGCAAGAUUGUAACCUUUGGGAAGUUAAGAGUCCAUUUCCUGCUGUGUGCCCAUUAGCCAGCAGAGUGCCUCCCACAGAUUAGACCCUCAAAACAUGUUGUCUGAAGGAAUAAAUGAAUAAACUUUAAAAUGAUAAAA